GAGCGGGACAAGCUCCGUACAGUUGGAUACAAGAAGAAAGAGACAGCGUAACUUAAACAGGAAGCUGGGCCAUCAAAGUUGAGAAAUUCCCAACGGAAGACAUGCUGAGUCGUUUCUAUACUACAACAGCAGCAGCAGCAAUGGCAUGGCCAGCUCAUGAGUUCUUUUGGCUCCCAAUCUUGGGGAUCUGUGGAACCAUUGCUUGGGACCCGAGGUGAGGCAGCAUCUCACGGCAGAAACGCAUGGGAGAUCCAAGCUUCUCAAUCCCCAUUGUCGGCUUUCCGCUGAUGACAUAAUAGCUCUUGUCUCCUCCCAAAGCACCACCUUCAUGAGCAAAUCUUUACCCAGAGCCUUUGGUGGACAUUCAACCCCCAUACUAGAGCAGAAGAGAAGGGCGGCUUGAGUCCGUGUUCAAGCUGACAAAGGAGGGGAGAGAGAGCAAGGAGAACAGAGGCGCCUGAUGCUGCAGCGGACAGGGAUAGGAGGGGCCGUGAGAGACGAGCACUCGAAGACACGGUGGGGCAAACGUAGAUAGGCUUUUAUUUUUCCUGUGGGAAAGACCAGAGCCCACGGAUGCCGUCUUUUCUCUGUGAGGGAGUUGAAGCCACACAGUAGGGGUUUACUUUUGUUGUGCUGGGAAUUGAUUGCAUGCCCAUGGUACCUAGUGAUCCUUGGAGAGAUGACAAGCGACUCACAGAGCCUUCCCUCAGCUUCCCCAGGAUGCCACUGGCAAAGGGAACAGAGUGGGCAUUGGGGUUCAGACAGCUGGAAUCCUAGCACCACCACCUACCAACUGUGUGAGCCUGGGCAAGGCCCUUCGAAAGCAGUGUCUUCAUCAGCAGAGGGGACCUGAUGAGGAUGCCUGUUCCUUUGGAAGGGAGUGUGAAGCUGGGAUUCAUGUUCCUGAAUACCAGAGAUCUGAGAGCCUGGGGGCUUCUCAUCCUGGCAGAGAUGAUACACACACCAGAGCACUUGGGCUGCCUUGGAAUUUGAGCAGACUAGCGAAGAAUGGAGCCCUCAAGACCAGAUGGAAGGAACAUAUCUCAAGCUGA
rnacentral:lncRNA from 1 species